ACGCGGAGUGUCUGAGUUUAAGUGGUGGUCUCUUAAACCAUAUACGGCUGGUUAUGCCCUCAGCGACCCCGUA
rnacentral:tRNA from 1 species